rnacentral:lncRNA from 1 species
CGUGGGCUCCCUCCGAGGUGGCAGCUGUUCCUUGCAGCAGCUGUGGUGACUUGAAAGAGAGAUUUGGCUACUGAAUCUGGUCUACAGCGUAAAGUGCUAUGGCUGGACUGAAACACACCUUCGAGGCAUGAAAGUGGAGUAAAGACUCGUGAUGCCCAUCGCAGUGGAGCUGUUGGUAACCUCUUUGCUCAUCCAUCUGCUUCCCUGCUAGAACCGAUUCCUUUGGCAGCAGGCUGGGUGCAUAGCAAAGGAAGGAUAAGGGAUUGUCA